AUUGAACGCUGGCGGCAGGCCUAACACAUGCAAGUCGAACGAGUGGCGGACGGGUGAGUAAUGUCUGGGAAACUGCCUGCUGGCUGGGGAUAAGUACUGGAAACGGUAGCUAAUACCGCAUACCAUCAGAUGUUCCCAGAUGGGUUUAGCUUGUUGGUGGGGUAACGGCUCACCAAGGCGACGAUCCCUAGCUGGCCUGAGAGGAUGACCAGCCACACUGGAACUGAGACACGGUCAAGACUCCUACGGGAGGCAGCAGGGGGGAAUAUUGCACAAGGGGCGCAAGCCUGAUGCAGCCAUGCCGCGUGUAUGAAGAGGGCCUGCGGGUUGUAAAGUACGUUCAGAGGGGAGGCGUUACCCGCAGAAGAAGCACCGGCUAACUCCGUGCCAGCAGCCGCGGUAAUAC
rnacentral:rRNA from 1 species